ensembl:snoRNA
AUUAGCACAAUGACGACCUAAAUUUUUGCCAUUUACCCAACUGAGGACUUCUUUGACGAAGUAAUCUUAAAACUGAAGUGCCAGU